rnacentral:rRNA from 1 species
CGCUGGCGGCGUGCCUAACACAUGCAAGUCGAACGGGAAUCUUCGGAUUCUAGUGGCGGACGGGUGAGUAACGCGUAAGAAUCUAACUUCAGGACGGGGACAACAGUUGGAAACGACUGCUAAUACCCGAUGUGCCGCAAGGUGAAAACUAAUUGGCCUGAAGAAGAGCUUGCGUCUGAUUAGCUAGUUGGUGGGGUAAGAGCCUACCAAGGCGACGAUCAGUAGCUGGUCUGAGAGGAUGAGCAGCCACACUGGGACUGAGACACGGCCCAGACUCCUACGGGAGGCAGCAGUGGGGAAUUUUCCGCAAUGGGCGAAAGCCUGACGGAGCAACGCCGCGUGAGGGAGGAAGGUCUUUGGAUUGUAAACCUCUUUUCUCAAGGAAGAAGUUCUGACGGUACUUGAGGAAUCAGCCUCGGCUAACUCCGUGCCAGCAGCCGCGGUAAUACGGGGGAGGCAAGCGUUAUCCGGAAUUAUUGGGCGUAAAGCGUCCGCAGGUGGUCAGCCAAGUCUGCCGUCAAAUCAGGUUGCUUAACGACCUAAAGGCGGUGGAAACUGGCAGACUAGAGAGCAGUAGGGGUAGCAGGAAUUCCCAGUGUAGCGGUGAAAUGCGUAGAGAUUGGGAAGAACAUCGGUGGCGAAAGCGUGCUACUGGGCUGUAUCUGACACUCAGGGACGAAAGCUAGGGGAGCGAAAGGGAUUAGAUACCCCUGUAGUCCUAGCCGUAAACGAUGGAUACUAGGCGUGGCUUGUAUCGACCCGAGCCGUGCCGAAGCUAACGCGUUAAGUAUCCCGCCUGGGGAGUACGC